GUCGAGGAUCUUUUGCAAUGGGCGAAAGCCUGACAAAGCGACGCUGCGUGGAGGAUGAAGGCCUUCGGGUUGUAAACUCCUGUCAUUCGGGAACAAUUAUUUGUGGACUAACACUCCACAGACUUGAUGGUACCGGAAGAGGAAGCCACGGCCAACUCUGUGCCAGCAGCCGCGGUAAUACAGAGGUGGCGAGCGUUGUUCGGAUUUACUGGGCUUAAAGGGUGCGUAGGUGGUUUCGUGUGUCGGACGUGAAAUCCCACCGCUUAACGGUGGAACUGCGUUCGAAACUGCGGAACUUGAGUGCAGGAGGGGAGAGCGGAAUUCUUGGUGUAGCGGUGAAAUGCGUUGAUAUCAAGAAGAACACCGGUGGCGAAGGCGGCUCUCUGGAAUGUAACUGACACUGAGGCACGAAAGCUAGGGGAGCAAACAGGAUUAGAUACCCUAGUAGUCC
rnacentral:rRNA from 1 species